rnacentral:tRNA from 1 species
GUCUCUGUGGCGCAAUUGGUUAGCGCGUUCGGCUGUUAACCGGAAAGUUGGUGGUUCAAGCCCACCCAGGGACG